AAAGGACUCUCAUGCAUUCAUCGUAUUUAAAUGUUGGUCAUCAUUGCUCAUGAACAAAGCAUGGAUCGUUAAUUAAGCGCUGGAAACUGCGCACUGCAGUUUUAAACCGACCCUAGCAGUUUUCACUUGCCAAUCUGCAAAAUAGGAAUGACAUUUUUGACAUGGUGGUUGGCUGCAUUUCGUCAACGAAGACUGGAAGAAGCACGAAAUGAAGAAGAAAGAACGUAAACACAAGCCCAACACCUAUCUUCUUGUGUUUAAAGAUUUUAAUUUUGCAAUGUCAUCUUAGACAAAAUGUCACUGUUUCUCUUAAUUCCUCACUAAAUUAGCUAGUUGUGUUUGAUGAGUGACUUUACCCUAGAAGAAUAGUUCUUAACCAAAACCAUUUUAUUGUGUGUUUUUACAUUACCCUCAUUACCCUGUAGCCCCCACAAUGUCUGGAGAUUCAUUUUGUGUUCAGUUUGUGAGAUCAAAGACUUCUUUCUUAUUUUUACCUGAAAAAUGGGCGAAACGGCUGAAUGACAUCAAGAAGUUAGAAUAUGAUUCAACCAUUAAAAUCGUAUUUGGCAACAGUAAGACUGCUUAUUUUAGCUGGCAGCCAACAAAUUUCAAAGAAGAGAAUGUUGUUGGUAUCAAUGCUACUGUAGCCUCAAAUUUGGGCUUGAAGGAAGGCGAUAUUGUGUCUCUGAUUAUUGGCAGUAACCCUCCUUGUCUUCGUCGAGUUGUAAUGUCACCUUUGUCUUCAGAUGACUUGGAAAUGAUCGAGUCUAGUAGUAGCUUAAUUCAAUCAACCCUACUUGACCAAGUUCGUGUAAUCUGGAGAGAUCAGCUGCUUACUGCUUGGAUUAGUAACUCUCUUCCUAUUGUUCUUCAUGUCGAUUGUAUGGAUCCAGAUGUAGAUGUUGGUCGAUUGGAACAGAUGACAGAAGUAGUGGUAGGAGACCCUAUGAAUAUGAAAGCACCUGCUUUUAAAACUGCUGAAAACAUUGAUAAAAGUGUGAUGAAUAGUAUUGUGAGCUCUGGCAAACACUUUGCAAGCUCAGUAUUGAGUGCUGUCAAGAACGAUAUUACUAAUGAAGAGGAGCCCAUCAACCACAGUUUGACAACAGAGAAAUUUCAGUAUAUUUUUAGAGUGCAUCCUCUUUGCAAUGAUCAAAAUCUUCUUGGACCCUUAGAGGCCUUUCUCCCGGGGCCCUGUAUGGAAAAGCUAUUCCACUUCAAUGACAUGCAACAGAAAUCAUUAUUUUGUAAAAUAAGAAGACUGCAAGAUUCUGAUAAACCAAACCAAGAAAGUAGUACAGAAAAGGUCUCAGAUCGCCAGUCUUCUGACAGUCCUCAUGCAUACAUUCGUAUAACAAAUUUAAAUACCACAUCAUUAGCCACGAAAGAAAAUUAUUAUUCAUAUGACAAGAGAUGUAUUUACUUGUCAAGCAAUCUGAGAGGUAGUCUGUGUCUUGAAAUUGGAUCAAGGGUUAUUUUAUCUGAUUUUUUACCUAGAACACGCAAUGCUCACUGCGAGAGAAUAGACCUUUUACCAUAUUAUGCCUUAAAUUGUUUUGAUCUGGGCAAGAAUUUAAUUCAGUAUGUAGAUCAGCUCCCAACUGGUCUUCUUCUGAGCAAUAAUAUGAUAUUGACCAUUCCUACUGAGAAAGGCUUUGUUGAUGCAGAAGUGCAUUUGCUGCCAUCAACGUUAGACCAUUUUCUUGCACUUCCUGGAUCAUUAGAUGCAAGAAAAGUGCAUGUACUGCUGGAAAAGCGGGUAAAAAAUCAAGAGAAGCUGCCGUCCAUUAAACCUUUCAUUCCAAAAAAUAUUUCAGGUGAUCUCCACUUAAUACACCUUCAAGGCAUUAUAAAUGAAGGACUUUCAACUCUUAAAAUAACAUUAGGUCUUCACGAAUCUGUCAAUCGCUAUCAAGAAUUCCCAAAAAUAGCAAAUAAUCUGUUAAUUUUAGGAAAGAGUGGUUGUGGCAAAAGUAGCGCAGCAGGGGCCCUUUGUGACUUACUUCAGGGUUCUCCUCAUUAUGUUCACAAUGCAGUCAUCAAAUGCAGGCCUCUCAAAGGAAAAACUGUGGAAUCACUUUUCAAACAUUUACAAAGCUUCAUUGAUGACUGCGUUUACCACCAGCCAUCCAUUCUAUUCUUAGAUGAUAUUGAAUGCAUUGCUGGUGUAGCUGAAGAUCAGGACCACAGCAGCCAAAUAUCAGCAUAUUUUAACAGAGUUGGCAGAAUGAUUCUCCAGCUUCUAAGUAGUCUACAAUCUGGUCAUUCAGUUGCUAUCAUUGCAACAGCACCAUCUAUUCAAUCUGUUGCAUCAUCUUUAGUGCCUGCUCGAGGUGUCCACUUCUUCAACACUACCUUAGAGCUGCCUGAACUAUCUAAGAAUGAUAGACAAUGCACUUUCAUGAAGAUUUUAAAUAGAAAGGUGGCAAAUGGGGAAGUGAGAGAUAUUAAGUGCUUUCAAGCUGUUGAAGAAUGUGCCAAGAAUACAGAAGGGUACUGUCUUCAGGAUUUAGCUGAUUUGGUUGACAAAGCCACUUUGGCUGCAUGUAUGAGACAAGUAAUAUCCAGUAAAGCUCCAGUUAUAGAGGAUUGUGAUAUAAUGGAAGCAUUGUCCAACAGUACACCUAUGCUUCUGCGUGGUGUUGAUUUGCAAAAAAGUGUUGCUUUUGGUUGGGAUGAUAUUGGGGGUCUUGAAGACGUCAAGACUGAGUUGAAAGAAGUAUUUGAGUGGCCAGUUAUGUAUCCAGAGCUCUUCAAAAAUUCACCCUUGAGACAACAGUCUGGCCUUCUUCUAUAUGGUGCUCCUGGUACGGGAAAAACAAUGUUAGCUGCUGCUGUUGCAAGUGAAUGUGGUCUCAACUUUAUUAGUGUCAAGGGCCCAGAAUUGCUGUCUAAGUACAUUGGUGCUAGUGAAGAAGCAGUAAGAAAUGUUUUCUUUAAGGCUCAAAGUGCUAAGCCCUGCGUUCUCUUCUUUGAUGAGUUUGACAGUCUUGCCCCCAGGAGAGGUCAUGACAAUACAGGUGUAACUGAUAGAGUGGUCAAUCAGCUAUUAACUCAACUAGAUGGUGUAGAGAGCUUAGUUGGUGUAUGGGUGUUGGCAGCCACAAGUAGACCUGAUCUGUUGGAUCCUGCUUUGCUGAGGCCAGGUCGACUGGACCGGUCUGUGCUGUGCCCCUUGCCUGAUGAGAUAAAUAGACUAGCAAUAUUGCAGGCUUUAAGUAGAAAAAUGAAUUUAGACAAAAAUGUGGACUUUUCAAAUAUUGCUGCAGGUACGAAAGGGUUUACAGGGGCUGAUUUGCAAUCCAUCCUGUACACAGCUCAGCUAAGUACAGUUGAAGUUCAGCAAUCGCAGAUUCAAGAUGCAGCUGGAUUAAAAAAUAGCAAAGAGGUAUCUUUUAAGGUGACUCAAUCCCAUAUAGAUGCUGCUGCCAAAAACACCAGACCUUCCCUAACAGUUCAAGAACGCAACAAAUUUUUUCAGAUAUAUAAAAAAUUUGGAGCUGGGCAGAAAGGGGGCUCAUCCAGUGUUCUUGACAGUGGCCAAAGGAUGACCCUCGCCUAAGUCUGUUGUGAUCCUACUUUCAAAUGGGGUGUAGAAAUGUCAACGUUACCAUGAGAAAUUUAACAUGACAAGAGGAACAGCAGAGCCACAUCACUGGGAAUAGUAGCCUUCACCUUUAUGACAUUUCUCUUGUCAAUGAAGUUUCCCAGAGGUUAUCACGCAUAUCAUGAAACGGACAAGGACAGCGCUUAACCAUUAAGCGCAAACAGGAAGCUCGCAAAAGAGUUGAUUAAAUUAUGAAGUUGAUAACAUGCAAUACUUAAAUUACCACGCGAAAAUGCACAAUUUUGACACUGCAUUUCGUCCUUAUUAUGAUUGUUCUGCACCUGCUUCCCCUCCACCCCCGCUCCAGCCCCCACCUUCCCCCAUUCCCUCCCCUCCCACCGCACUCAACUCGAUAUAUCGAAGUGUGACGUAAAGAUGAUUACGCGGGAAAGAGACCCGAAUGAAAAAUACGAAUUUUAGGCCCUGAUCCUACAGUAUUUAGGAUAAAGGUUGGAAAUAAAAUUCAAAUUUUCGGAACAACUAAAAUAGUUGCAAUUUUACGCCCGCAAAAACGAGUGGUGGCGACGGGAAAACGGGGAAGGGGUUAUGGUUACUUCGAUAGCUAUCGAUGGGACGCAACCGAGGACAAAGCAGUUUCUGAAAGCAUACGUUACAAAUGGAGGCUGCUGAUGCCGUUUCAGUCAGUAGAAAUUGGGUUAUGUUUCUGUGUUUAAAAGUUUCGUAAGCUUGUGUUUGUUUA
rnacentral:misc_RNA from 1 species